rnacentral:rRNA from 1 species
GACGAACGCUGGCGGCGGGCUUAACACAUGCAAGUCGAACGGAAAGGCCCUGCUUUUGUGGGGUGCUCGAGUGGCGAACGGGUGAGUAACACGUGAGUAACCUGCCCUUGACUUUGGGAUAACUUCAGGAAACUGGGGCUAAUACCGGAUAGGAUCUCCUGCUGCAUGGUGGGGGUUGGAAAGUUUCGGCGGUUGGGGAUGGACUCGCGGCUUACCAGCUUGUUGGUGGGGUAGUGGCUUACCAAGGCUUUGACGGGUAGACGGCCAGAGAGGGUGACCGGCCGCACUGGGACUGAGAGACGGCACAGACGCCUACGGGAGGCAGCAGUGGGGAAGAUUGCACAAUGGGCGGAGGCCUGAUGCAGCAACGCCGCGUGCGGGAUAACGGCCUUCGGGUUGUAAACCGCUUUCGCCUGUGACGAAGCGUGAGUGACGGUAAUGGGUAGAGAAGCACCGGCUAACUACGUG